CCCUACUCUAAUAAGGUUUUGAUAUCUAGAGCUCAUAGGUGGGAGACAGCUAAUACAUACUUACAAGACAUUUAUUGCAUAGUCAAAUCAUGGAUCCAGAGAAACAAGUCAAUAAGUCAAAUCAAGAUGUGCAUGUGUGGCGAAUGAAUGGUGUAUGGUGAUGAUGGUGAUAACAAUGGUGAAAGUCUAAUUCUACUUGUGCUCUUUUGAGGGGAUACGUACCUUUCUUGCUCUUUUGAAACUUUUUGAGGAGAAUGAGAUGCUCUAUAUUUUCUCUUUCUUUUCUCUCAGGUGGGUAUCUUGUACCCCUAAUUCUACUAUCGGACACUUGUCCAUUUUUACCUCUCGUCUCACUUUUUCCUUUCUUUCGAGGUUCCGGGCACUUGCCCCUUUUUAUUUCCUCGUAUACUUUUUUCUCCUUUUUUUUAUUAGAGCACUCAUCUCCUGAAAUAAUAUAGCAAGUGGUAGUAACCAAGAUAACUUGAGCAUUUAUUUCACAGGGGAAAAACAGAAAUGUUUUUGGCUAUUCUCUCCUUGAUAGGAGUAGAAUAAUUUUUGGGUGGUUCUGGAGAUAGAAAUGGUUGGAUAUAUAUGUGGAUGCGUACUUCCGGAGUAGAAGUAGCAUGUAUGAGUGAACGUGC
rnacentral:lncRNA from 1 species